rnacentral:lncRNA from 1 species
AUGUCUUUUCUUUCCUCUCCAGGUUUUACAUCUGGUUUCACAAAGAUCUUUAGUUGUCCACCAAUAUUUAUUUCUUUUUUCAUCCUUAGUAAUAAAAGUCUCUCAGUUGGACACAUGGUUGCCCAGAAAAAGAUUACAUUUCCCUUCCAGUUUUGCAUUUAUAACAUGCAGACAUUUUGUUCCUCCUCCUUGUCUUCAGAUUCUGCCUAGAACUUCCUCAUCCGAGAACUCCAGAGAUGUGCUUCCUAAUUCCUGCAAUUUACUUGGAAUCUGUGGAUGUGCUGAAGUUGAGGAUGUUGAGAUGAAGAGAUUAUCUUGGAUUAUCUCAUCUGAAGGAGGCUUAUAAGGAGAGAUGAAGGCAUUGGGACAUCUCUGGCUUUAGAGACGGAGGCCGGGGCCAUGAGCCAAG